rnacentral:misc_RNA from 1 species
AACCUUAUGGACCUGCGGGCGUAUACCUGCGGAGGGAUCAUUACCGAGUUAGGGUAGUUACUCGCUGCCCGACCUCCCAACCCUGUGUCUACCACACUUUGUCGUUGCUUCGGCGGACCGGUCGACCAACUGGUCGUGACCGCCGGGGGCUGGCUCUGUCGCCCCUGGAGAGCGUCCGCCGAUGGCCCAACCACAAACUCUUGUACCGAAACGUGUCGUCUGAAUAAUUGAGAAAUCAAA